rnacentral:lncRNA from 1 species
GCCAUCGCAUUCCAUCUGGCUGCCUCACCUGGUGGGGAGGAGGCUGUGAGAGAGUGCUAACGCUGAGGCACCAGCCGUCUGCUCACUGAGGUGCAGUAAGGGGUGGAGUUGGGGAAUGGUGUGCCAGGAUCUCCUGCCCCACUGAGCGACCAGGGAAGUCAGAGAGGAUGGAGACCAGCUGACCUCAGACCAUCAGGAAGCCUCGUGGAACUCAUGAUGCACAUGGACUUGUAGGAAGUGGCAAUAGGAGGUCUCGGGCUCAGCUCAAAGGGCUCAGCUUAGACAAAAGCUUAAAAAAGUUAACUCUCUUGCCUGUUUCACAAUGUGUCUUUCUCCACUCCCUCCCAGAAAAGAAGAGGAGGGGGUGUAGGCAGAGUUGAUUGACUAGGGGCAAGGAUCGCUUUAUCUGGAGAGGUGGAAAGAGCAAGUCUGCAAGUGUGGCCUCAUCCUGAGAUGUUUGGGCUCAAAGGUCUCAUCAGGUGAUCUGACCUUUGCCUCCAUGGAUUUCUGGCAUCUUGGAAUAAGUAGCAUCAACCUUUUAGCCUUGGAAAAGUCUCUAGAGGGAUUAGGGUUCCCUGGACUUCAUACCAAGACUUUGCUUGGUUCUCUGUAUUUCUACUGACUGGUCCAGCAAAGUAGAGAAGUUGUAAGAAUCUUAACUUGGACUGUAUAAUUAUACUCAGAUCACAAAAGGAGACUGUAAACACCUCUACAAUGAGAGGAUAUAUAGAAUGUCACUGGAGGCACGUAGAUUGUCCAAAAACCAAAGGAGAAACAAUUGUAAGCCAAGACGUCUCUCUGUUAUGUAAUCAAGAGUCAGGAAGCCACAAUUCACACAAAUUACUUUUCUCUGUUCUUCUAAAAGAAAAAAUAUUCAUCACAAUAAAACAACUAAUACCAGGUCAGUUCUGUGCUUCUCUCCUAUGUCUGAAAUAUAAAGCGAUAGUAGUGCAGGCAGAGGGGAUUUCCC